GAUUUUAUAUAAACAAAUCUAUACCUCACAAGUGAAUUUAAUGUUUUAAUGUAUUUUCUUAAAUCAUUUUUCUAAACAAAAUAAUAAUCACAAUCUCAAUAAAAAUGAAAUUAUAAUUAUGAUUUGGGCUAAGGCGUUUUAAUCUUUAUUUGGGCGAAGAUAAGAUAUGAUUAAUGAAAAGCCCAUUAGGUUUCUGUUUUUUUUUUCGUGAACAAACGGCAAAAAUAAACAGACUUUUUUUUCUAUCAAAACAAAUAUAAGAUUCCGGCUUCUUUGUUCUCUCCGGCAUAAGGAAGUCAGUAGAGACCGACAUUUGAUGAUUCUCAAUCAAUACUAAGAAUAUGUAUGAAGAUCGUUAGUGAAAAAACGGUAGCAUAUAAAGGUCUUCUUACAAAAGAUGAUGCUAUUAGUAAAAAUUUUAGAGACAAUAUCAGACCACUCAAUAUGAUGUUUUCUUUUACAUCGCUUGGAGGAAAGAUCGAUAAUUCAAUAAAUAGAGGUAAUGGACCAAAAAAUUUCCAGACCAUGGGGAAAACUAUCAUUUGAUUGGGAGCAUGAAGCCGGAGGCAAACAAAAAUGCUAAGUUCUCUCAGUUGUAUAUUCAUGACACUGAGAAUGAGGUGGAAAAUCGGCUAUCUGCUUUUGAUGUACAUCAAUUAUCUUUGCACCAUCGUUUUCCUAAAUGAAGUACAUUUAUUCAAUUUUAUAGACCAAAUUGAAUUUCCCUUAAUUGUUUAUAUGUAAUGUAACAGUGGAAACGGUGAAAGGACCAAAAUAAGAGCUGAUUUAGUACAG